GGACCACACGCUGAGGAUAAGAUG
rnacentral:siRNA from 1 species